UGGCCAAGGUGCCACCUACGACUCCAUGAAAGGUCGAUUCCGCGAGUAUCGUAAAAUUGCACAGAGCAUGCGUCAGGACAACCAAGAAGUAGCUAAUUCUCGAACUCCCAUCCGCCGCACUACCAGCAGUGGGCGCAUUAGCAAACUGAGCUCUGCAGCUAAAAACGGCCGGAUGCAAACGCCCUUGACCCCGACUAAACUGAGCAAAAUGAAAACCGAGAACGGCUUUGCCAACCCUAUCCUGAUCGAUGAAGAAUCGGAUGAUUUCGUCAAACACAAUAGCGACGCCAGUAUUCCUUAUGAAGAAAGCCCAGCAAAUAGCACACCAUCCCC
rnacentral:sRNA from 1 species